rnacentral:rRNA from 1 species
GUGAGCGGCAGACGGGUGAGUAACGCGUGGGAAUCUACCCAUCUCUACGGAAUAACACAGAGAAAUUUGUGCUAAUACCGUAUACGUCCUGAGGGAGAAAGAUUUAUCGGAGAUGGAAGAGCCCGCGUUGGAUUAGCUAGUUGGUGAGGUAAAGGCUCACCAAGGCGACGAUCCAUAGCUGGUCUGAGAGGAUGAUCAGCCACACUGGGACUGAGACACGGCCCAGACUCCUACGGGAGGCAGCAGUGGGGAAUAUUGGACAAUGGGGGCAACCCUGAUCCAGCCAUGCCGCGUGAGUGAUGAAGGCCUUAGGGUUGUAAAGCUCUUUCACCGGUGAAGAUAAUGACGGUAACCGGAGAAGAAGUCCCGGCUAACUUCGUGCCAGCAGCCGCGGUAAUACGAAGGGGGCUAGCGUUGUUCGGAUUUACUGGGCGUAAAGCGCAUGUAGGCGGAUAUUUAAGUCAGGGGUGAAAUCCCAGGGCUCAACCCUGGAACUGCCUUUGAUACUGGGUAUCUUGAGUGU